CGGCGGUUCGUUGGUGGCUGGUUUGCGGCUAGGGUUCGGGGGUUUUGGUCCUUGUGAGUGUUGCGACAGGUUCCAAGUCCUCUCUGCUUCUCAGAGAGAGAGGCAGGUUCAGUCCUACUCGCUACUUCGUCGAAGAAGUCAUCGGCUUUGAUGAGACCGAUCUCUACCGCUCAUGGGUUCGGGCUUCAUCCACCAGGAGUCCUCAGGAGAGGAACACCAGGUUGGAGAACAUGUGCUGGCGGAUUUGGAACCUCGCUCGCCAGAAGAAGCAGCUGGAGAGUGAGGCGGCGUAGAGAGUGAACAAGCGCCGCCUCGAGCACGAGCGAGGGCGGAGGGAAGCCACCGCGGAUAUGUCGGAGGACUUGUCGGAAGGAGAGAAGGGAG
rnacentral:sRNA from 1 species